rnacentral:rRNA from 1 species
GACGAACGCUGGCGGCGUGCUUAACACAUGCAAGUCGAACGGAAAGGCCCUGCUUUUGUGGGGUGCUCGAGUGGCGAACGGGUGAGUAACACGUGAGUAACCUGCCCUUGACUUUGGGAUAACUUCAGGAAACUGGGGCUAAUAACGGCUAGGAGCUCCUGCUGCAUGGUGGGGGUUGGAAAGUUUCGGCGGUUGGGGAUGGGCUCGCGGCUUAUCAGCUUGUUGGUGGGGUAGUGGCUUACCAAGGCUUUGACGGGUAGCCGGCCUGAGAGGGUGACCGGCCACAUUGGGACUGAGAUACGGCCCAGACUCCUACGGGAGGCAGCAGUGGGGAAUAUUGCACAAUGGGCGGAAGCCUGAUGCAGCAACGCCGCGUGCGGGAUGACGGCCUUCGGGUUGUAAACCGCUUUCGCCUGUGACGAAGCGUGAGUGACGGUAAUGGGUAAAGAAGCACCGGCUAACUACGUG